GCGUGAGUGAUGAAGGCCUUAGGGUUGUAAAGCUCUUUCAGCUGGGAAGAUAAUGACGGUACCAGCAGAAGAAGCCCCGGCUAACUUCGUGCCAGCAGCCGCGGUAAUACGAAGGGGGCUAGCGUUGUUCGGAAUUACUGGGCGUAAAGCGCACGUAGGCGGGACGAUAAGUCAGGGGUGAAAGCCCAAGGCUCAACCUUGGAAUUGCCUUUGAUACUGUCGUUCUUGAGUCCGGGAGAGGUGAGUGGAACUCCGAGUGUAGAGGUGAAAUUCGU
rnacentral:rRNA from 1 species